rnacentral:rRNA from 1 species
GACGAACGCUGGCGGCGUGCCUAAUACAUGCAAGUAGAACGCUGAAGGAGGAGCUUGCUUCUCUGGAUGAGUUGCGAACGGGUGAGUAACGCGUAGGUAACCUGCCUGGUAGCGGGGGAUAACUAUUGGAAACGAUAGCUAAUACCGCAUAAGAGUAGAUGUUGCAUGACAUUUGCUUAAAAGGUGCAAUUGCAUCACUACCAGAUGGACCUGCGUUGUAUUAGCUAGUUGGUGGGGUAACGGCUUACCAAGGCGACGAUACAUAGCCGACCUGAGAGGGUGAGCGGCCACACUGAGACUGAGACACGGCCCAGACUCCUACGGGAGGCAGCAGUAGGGAAUCUUCGGCAAUGGACGGAAGUCUGACCGAGCAACGCCGCGUGAGUGAAGAAGGUUUUCGGAUCGUAAAGCUCUGUUGUAAGAGAAGAACGAGUGUGAGAGUGGAAAGUUCACACUGUGACGGUAUCUUACCAGAAAGGGACGGCUAACUACGUG